UCAAACACUGAUGUAUUCUUCUAUUCGGAAUCGUAUUUCUGUGUUCUACUUUUUAUAACAUGUCUAACAGAGUCUUUAUGAUAGAGUCAUCCACUUCUUCGUUUCAGUGUUAUUAAGCACUUGUUCACCCCAAAAAAGGGUACUUAAGUUAAGCAAUUUGCUCUAGAAUACUCUUUGGAGGAACUUAUAGGAUUCCUGCAGCGUCAUGCAAUAUUAGUAUGGAGAGUUUGGACUGCAAAAAGUUCACUGCUAUAUCCUCACGAUGGUGUGGAAAGUUUGGCAUGAGAACAAACAAGAUCUACUAUUGUUUGGCAAGAAUUUGAAAGUUCAGUUCUUAUGUGAAUGUUUCUGGUGAACUUGUUGGCACUGAAAGCCUUCUCAAGUUCAUGGCAGUUGGUUAUUUGGAAUACUAAACCUGGUUUAGAUUGGGAUAGGAGGUCAAGAACUUCUAAAAAGUAGUACAUCCACUCACUAUAUAUGCAUUGGUUUUUGCAGAGAUUUUGUAAUUGACAGUGCACCCAGCCAAAAGCUGAAGAAGGCUGAGAUAAUUGAGGCUGCAAAUUGAAAACGCAGUAGGGAGGUCUCUAACAAUGAACAUACCAAGAUUUGUCCUGAACUGUUUACAACAGAGCACAUCAUGAAAAACUGAAGAUUCUCAGAACCACCCCGUAUUCACAAUGUUCAAAACGUCUAACAAUAAGCUGCAUUUGAACAGUGACGGUAGGAUGAAACUUACUGUGUGAUAGCAGGUUAAAUUUUGAAAAGGAAUUCUAAAUGGAUUUCAGCCUCUUUUGCUGUCUGCCUCUGAUAAACACGUUUGUCCAUCCAUGAUGAUUGCUAUUUGAUUUUACAGAUGUUUAUUAUCAUAUCAAGAGGCCCCAAGAUCAGCUGGGUCCCCAACCAUUACAAAAGUUUCAGCAUUGUAAAAGAACUUAUGAUUGCUACUAGAAUGGGGCCAAAAAGUGAUCUUAUCUUUCAUCACUAUGCCUUUGACGUUUGAGCCACUUUCAGGACACACCAGCUGCAAAAACUAGUAUCAUGUUUUAAAAAAACAAUAUUCAACCUAGUAUAUGUGAAGUUUAGUGUACAUUGUUGGAAAUAUAAGCCUUUUUUGAUACUGGUAUAAGUUGGCUUUAGAAAAAAAAAAAAAAGAGAUAUUUGAUCUGAAAUGAAUCAAAAGGUGAAACCAAAUCACCCUCGUUUGACUUGUUGAUGACCACUGCAAGUGCAAAGAGUGUGCCUUACUGUUUGUUUGUUUGUUCGUUUGUUAAUGCUCCAUAGACAUUACACUCGUGAAAGAAUUGUCAUUUCUUUGAAAAUAAAAUGAUCCAUCAGCUGAAACUGAAUUUUCAUGUGUCUAAUCAAACGUGAAAGCUACUUGCAUCCCUUGCUUUCUCUUCCCAUGGCCUAAAACAAGGGGCAAUAUAUGGUAGAAAAUGAAGAGAAAAAAAACAUCCGAUUGGUUGAAUUUGGCUUCAGUGUGAAGAAUAUACUGCUGGUGGUAGAGCUACCAAGAGGAGAAGAUGAUUACAAAGGGUGGCCCAGUGUUGAAAGUCGAAACUAUGACCACCUAAGUCACCAUCGCAUCUCACAAAGGAAAAUGAUGGAAUUCUCCUUUUUCAAAUGUUUUAUGUCACAUAUACGAGCUUCUAAAAAGGGUGGUUACAUAAUCCACCGUCCAAAUUCUCUACUCUUAUCCAUAUCUAUCUAUAUAGUGGGAAGGGAACUUCUAAUGUAAUGAAGUGGUCAUUGACAUGCUAUCAUUUUUUCCCAGCUCCUUCUCAACACGCAGCCACCAAAACUAGAACACAGCAAAAACUAUUGAGGUUUUAAGUGUUUUUUUUUCUUUUGUAUUAAUUAUUUUGUCACACAUAUUUUUCUUUCAAGCAAAUUUGAUAUUUUGAAGAAUAUUUCUUGUUCUUUACCUGGUUUUUUCUGAUUUAAGUCUAAUGGUGAUUUUGUACGAUGAUCUAUGUUUUGGAUUCUGCUUGGAAUUUAGAAUUUUGGCUAGUCACAGCGCGUCACUCUUUUUGGCGAAUCAAUGAAUUCUGCCGUCCUAAAUUUUGAUUCUUUUCUUCGGCAGAAAGAUU